GACGAACGCUGGCGGCGUGCUUAACACAUGCAAGUCGAACGGUAAGGCCCCAGCUUGCUGGGGUACACGAGUGGCGAACGGGUGAGUAACACGUGGGUGACCUGCCCCGCACUUCGGGAUAAGCCUGGGAAACUGGGUCUACUACCGGAUAGGACCGCACCGUGCGGGAUUGGUGGUAAGUUUUUCGGUGUGGGAUGGACUCGCGGCCUAUCAGCUUGUCGGUGGGUUAAUGGCCUACUAAGGCGGCGACGGGUAGUCGGCAUGAGAGGGUGGACGGCCAAAUUGGGACUGAGGCACGACCCAGACUCCUACGGGAGGCAGCAGUGGAGAAUAUUGCACAAUGGGCGGAAGCCUGAUGCAGCGACGCCGCGUGGGGGAUGACGGCCUUCGGGUUAUAAACUCCUUUAACCAGCGACGAAGGUUUUCUGACGGUAGAUGGAGAAGAAGCGCCGGCUAACUACGUG
rnacentral:rRNA from 1 species